rnacentral:rRNA from 1 species
AUUGAACGCUGGCGGCAUGCCUUACACAUGCAAGUCGAACGGCAGCGCGGGGCAACCUGGCGGCGAGUGGCGAACGGGUGAGUAAUAUAUCGGAACGUACCCUGGAGUGGGGGAUAACGUAGCGAAAGUUACGCUAAUACCGCAUACGAUCUCAGGAUGAAAGUGGGGGAUUCGCAAGAACCUCAUGCUCCUGGAGCGGCCGAUAUCUGAUUAGCUAGUUGGUAGGGUAAAAGCCUACCAAGGCAUCGAUCAGUAGCUGGUCUGAGAGGACGACCAGCCACACUGGAACUGAGACACGGUCCAGACUCCUACGGGAGGCAGCAGUGGGGAAUUUUGGACAAUAGGCGCAAGCCUGAUCCAGCAAUGCCGCGUGAGUGAAGAAGGCCUUCGGGUUGUAAAGCUCUUUUGUCAGGGAAGAAACGGGUUUUUCUAAUACAGAGAUCUAAUGACGGUACCUGAAGAAUAAGCACCGGCUAACUACGUGCCAGCAGCCGCGGUAAUACGUAGGGUGCAAGCGUUAAUCGGAAUUACUGGGCGUAAAGCGUGCGCAGGCGGUUUUGUAAGACUGACGUGAAAUCCCCGGGCUCAACCUGGGAAUGGCGUUGGUGACUGCAAGGCUAGAGUUUGGCAGAGGGGGGUAGAAUUCCACGUGUAGCAGUGAAAUGCGUAGAUAUGUGGAGGAACACCGAUGGCGAAGGCAGCCCCCUGGGUCAAAACUGACGCUCAUGCACGAAAGCGUGGGGAGCAAACAGGAUUAGAUACCCUGGUAGUCCACGCCCUAAACGAUGUCUACUAGUUGUCGGGUUUUAAUUAACUUGGUAACGCAGCUAACGCGUGAAGUAGACCGCCUGGGGAGUACGGUCGCAAGAUUAAAACUCAAAGGAAUUGACGGGGACCCGCACAAGCGGUGGAUGAUGUGGAUUAAUUCGAUGCAACGCGAAAAACCUUACCUACCCUUGACAUGGCAGAAAUCCCGGAGAGAUUUGGGAGUGCUCGAAAGAGAAUCUGCACACAGGUGCUGCAUGGCUGUCGUCAGCUCGUGUCGUGAGAUGUUGGGUUAAGUCCCGCAACGAGCGCAACCCUUGUCAUUAGUUGCUACGAAAGAGCACUCUAAUGAGACUGCCGGUGACAAACCGGAGGAAGGUGGGGAUGACGUCAAGUCCUCAUGGCCCUUGUGGGUAGGGCUUCACACGUCAUACAAUGGUACAUACAGAGGGCCGCCAACCCGCGAGGGGGAGCUAAUCCCAGAAAGUGUAUCGUAGUCCGGAUUGUAGUCUGCAACUCGACUGCAUGAAGUUGGAAUCGCUAGUAAUCGCGGAUCAGCAUGUCGCGGUGAAUACGUUCCCGGGUCU